rnacentral:rRNA from 1 species
UACAGAGGGGGCAAGCGUUGUUCGGAAUUACUGGGCGUAAAGGGCGCGUAGGCGGCCUUCUAAGUCGAACGUGAAAUCCCCGGGCUCAACCCGGGAACUGCGUCCGAUACUGGAAGGCUUGAAUCCGGGAGAGGGAUGCGGAAUUCCAGGUGUAGCGGUGAAAUGCGUAGAUAUCUGGAGGAACACCGGUGGCGAAGGCGGCAUCCUGGACCGGUAGUUGACGCUGAGGCGCGAAAGCCAGGG